UACGUAGGCAGCGAGCGUUGUUCGGAAUUACUGGGCGUAAAGAGUGUGUAGGCGGUGCUCUAAGUUCGGUGUGAAAUCUCCCGGCUCAACUGGGAGGGUGCGCCGAAUACUGAAUGACUUCGAGUGCGGGAGAGGAGAGUGGAAUUCCUGGUGUAGCGGUGAAAUGCGCAGAUAUCAGGAAGAACACCCGUGGCUAAGGCGGCUCUCUAGUACGGUACUGACGCUGAGACGCGAAAGCGUGGGGAGCGAACAGG
rnacentral:rRNA from 1 species